AGCCCAGCCAACAUCUUGAUUGCAAAUUCAUGAAGAAUCUUGAGUCAGGAUCCUUGAGCUAAGCCACUCCCAAAUCCCCAAACCACAGAAACUAUGAAAUAAUGAUUUUUUUUUUCUUCUUACUGCUGCACCUGUGGUCUAUGAAUGUUGCUGGGCUAGGGGUUGAAUUGAAACUGCAUCUGAGGCCUGCACUGCAGCCACAGCAGUGCUGGAUCUGAGCAACAUCUUUGACUUAAACUGCAGCUUGUGGCAACAUCGGAUUUUUAACCCGUUUAGCAAGGCCAGGGAUCAAACCUGCAUCCUUACAAAAACUAUGCUGGGUUCUUAGUCCACUAAGUCACAGUGGGAACUCUGAAAUAAUGAGGUUUUUUUUUUUUUUGUUUUGUUUUUUAAGGGCCGCACUGCAGCAUAUGAAAGUUCCCAGGCUAGGGGUCUAAUCAGAGCUACAGCUGCCUGCCUAUGCCACAGCUGCAGUGAUGCCAGAUCUGAGCCACUUCUGUGACCUACACCACAGCUCACAGCAAUGCCAAAUCCUUAACCCACUGAGCAGGGCCAGGACUCGAACCUUCGUCCUCAUGGGUAAUAGAUUCAUUUCUGCUGAGCCAUUAUGAGAAGACCAAUAAUACGUUUUUAAGCUGUUAAGUUUUAGAGUGAUUUGUUACACAACAAUGUCCAGUUAGGAUUUUUUUUUUUUUUUUUUUUUUGCUUUUUGCUUUUUAGGGCUGCACUCACAGCAUGUGGAAGUUCUCAGGCCAGGGGUCAAAUUGGAGCUAUAGCUGCUGGCCUACACCACAGCUACAGCAAUGAAGGAUCUGAGCCAAAUCUGGGACCUACACCACAGCUCAUAACAACACCGGAUCCCCCACCCACCGAGUGAGGCUAGGGAUCAAACCCAUAUCCUCAUGGAUACUAGUCAGAUUCAUUUCCACUGGACCACAGUGGGAACUCCCAGGACAUCUGUUUAUUGAAUGUGCUGGACUUUGUGGGAUACAAAUAUAAAUGACAUAAUUUUUUCUCACUUUUUCCCCGAUAAGCUUUCUUUUUGUUUUUUUCUUCCCCUGGAUGAAAUAGUAAGCAUGUCAAUUAGCUUUUUCUGGAUACUUUUAGAUAUUAAAAAGUUCAUUUUCAUCUAGUAAUCAUAUAACUUCUAGCUCUCAUUCAACAUAAGCUUUGCCCCUCUGCUGGCCCAGGGCUAUUUCAGGCCUGAAAGCUUGCAGUGGGGAGGAUAGCUUGGCUGGUUUCUUUAUUCCACAGCUUAUUUGACAUCCUGUCUGCCACUCACCAGACUAUGUCUGAUGUCUCUGUAGAUAGGGGAUACAGCAGAGGAAGGAUGCCUGGCAAAGAAUAGAAAAGGUCUUACCUGACUGACUUGGCCGUGAUAUGACAUCUGUGCCUUCCGGGAAUGGUAUAGUGGUAUGCCGAAAUUUGAUUGUACCAACUCUCAAGAGCUAAUGGUUCAAUUAUCAGGAAUUUUGGGUCAUUGUUAAAUACGGCCAUCAUGAAACAUUAAAUUUUAUAUAAACAUACAGUUAAAUAAAUGUUUUAAAAUCACAGAUAAUAAAUGCUUACUUCCUCCUAAUUUUUAAAGUAUGUUUUAUGUUAUCUAUGUUCCUGUCUUCAGUUUACUUAUGUUUACUGUAUCUGCAUGGUGGAAAUAUUUUAUAAUUGUGUCCCAUUGUGCAUCUUUUCCAAGUCCAUGUUCAGUGAUGUCACAUUAGUGGCCUGAAGUUGGCUGUAGCAGGAGUCAGGUGCCAAGGAAUCACAUAAUGGAAGGCAAAAAAUGCUAUAGAUUUGGACUCUUUUUCCUGGAGAUCUGGUUGUGAAACCUUUACUUGAAUACCACUGACAUGGUGUAUUCCAAAUUCAGAUCUUCAUUCUCAUGGAUUUCUUCUGCUGAGAUAUGCUUCCUAUAGUUUCCUUGGCAUGGUUCUGUCUCAUCUACUUGACCACUCAUAAUUCUCCCCUGAGUAGUUCUCUGUUAGGGAGACCUCAUCCUUUUAGGCAGCCCUAGUUGGUAGAGUCACUUUUUUUUUUUUGGCUUUUUAGGGCUGCACCUGUGGCAUGUGUAAGUUCCCAGGCUAGGGGUGGAAUCGGAGCCAUAGUUGCAGGCCUAUGCCACAACCACAGCAACACCAGAUCCAAGCCUUGUCUGUGACCCACACCACAGCUCACAGCAAUGCAGGAUCCUUAACCUGCUGAACGAGGCCAGGGAUUGAACCCACAUCCUCAUGGAUCCUAGCUGGAUCCUAGUCCUUGUUACUAAGGACCCACAAUGGGAACUCCUGGUAGAGUCACUCUUAAGAAACCCAAUAGGCUCCUUCUAAUGUGGUCCACUUCUGGCCUGUGAGAAAUUCAUAUCCAAUUUUUCUGCCUGGAAAUACAGGCCAUUCCCAUUAGAAUUCUUUCCUCAUCCUGCAGACAGAGCAGUAAGCCUCCUUGUAGGCUCUAGGUUAAUCCCCUUCCCCCAAACUUGGGUACUAGUCUCUAUGUUCCUUAAACCCAAGAGAACAUGUGCCAAGACCUUUGAAUACUCUCUUAAAGUGACUGCCUCCCCCUUAUUUGUUUUGAGAUGGAGAGAAACACAUCUUCCAAAUCCCUAUGAGGUUGCUGAUGGGAAUAUUCAGAUCACAUGACAAUUCUCUUUGAACAAAUGCAUGUUUUCCCAUAUUUAGUCUCUUCUCAUGGAUUCUCAAGUCUACAUAUACAGCCUGGAUAUGAGUGGUGUACUGGCAGUAAAACUGGGUUAGGACACCCCCUUUACAGUCUAACAGCUCACCUUAGAAUAUGACUGUCUUUGCUGUUUAUUCUGUGUUUACUGUUUAUUCUGUGUUUGAGGGCCUCUGCGCAAAGCAGGAGACAACAUGAAGAGUCACAUCUAACAAUCUGUUAUACGUGUUAUAGCCUCAGCUUGCUGUUUUCAGAUUUUCUCAACUGAGAGUUGAGGCAACCUGGGAGGUUCAUGAGCUGCAGAAAUGGGCUGCAGAAAUGUUCCAGGGGCUGUGAGGCCCAGGCUGGGUUGUUCACGUACUGCCUCUUGGUGGAAGCGAGCACAGGUGUUGGUGUAAAUGAUAAGAGAGGGAAGAGCCAGGGCUGUACUGGGUGAGUGCUAUCAGGUAUCGAGAAUCAGGAGCAAAAGGCAAGACAAAGGUGAGAGGUGAGAGAAUGAGAAGCUGAGGAGGUUAAGAUCAUGUUGGGAAGGGUGUGGCUGCCAAUGAGCUCCCCAUUACCAUGCUCUAACCUGCAGGUGUGGGCCACUCAGCUGAGAGGGGACUGGUCAGCUGGUUGAAAGCAGAGGGUGGGCAUGGACAGCUGAUUCCUCAGCAUCAAUUAGAGGGAGCUCUUAUUUUCUUACUUGUUCCUUGCCAGUUAUGCCUUCACCAGUAAGAAACAAAAGGCAGUAAUACUCAAGUGAGACCGUUUUCAAAAUGAGCAUUGAUUUGACAUCCAGCAUGGUAGAGCAUGCAAAGAGGACACUAGACAAGUUCAUUUUGAUUCAGUAUUUUUUAGCUUAGCAAAUACUUGCCUUAAUGAGAUAAUCAGUUUUGUCUAUAACAUGGUUACUUAUGCAGUGCCCUGACAAUACUACUGUAUUGGUAGACAUCAAGUGGACACAGUAAUUUCUGACUUACUGAAAGUGUUUCUCUAUUAUUCACCUGAUCUGUCCUAUUUCCCAUUGUUUCUCUAUAUAUACGAUGUGUUCUGCCACACAUGUAAGUUGCCUCUGGAUGCAUCUUUUUUUCUCUUGCUUAUGUUGGGGACCAGAAAUGUGCCACCCCAAAUUAUGUCACUUUGGCAUAAGGAUGAUUUUGAGCUGGAGGCAAAUGAGAAUCAAUAGAUCUAAGUAGAAGGAAGACUUUCUGACCAAAAGCAGAAACUGCUAAAAAAUUAGGACUGCCACACAUAAAUCCCCUCUGCCUGGGAAGUUUUAUGGUCAUGAAAACAGAAAGCUAAGAUGGACCUGCACAAACAAACCUCAUCCCUUUAGCUGCCCCCACAUACUUACCUCCCCAUGGUUGGUUGAUCUCUUAAAAGUCUGAAACUCUUUUUCUCUGUCACAUCUCUACAAAUUAUUGUUGUUUUGAUGUUGUUAAGAUGCUAUACUAGCACAAGUUCUAACCACCUAUUUGAGUCAUUCUUCAUUGAGA
rnacentral:lncRNA from 1 species